rnacentral:rRNA from 1 species
UUAACGCUAGCGACGUGCCUAAGGUAUGCAAGUCGAACGAUGACCAGCACUUAGUAAUAAGUGCUGGUCGUAGUGGCAGACGGCUGAGUAACACGUGGGAAUCUUCCUCAAACUCGAGCAUAGCUCACCGAAAGGUGGGGUAAUUCUCGAUAGUCUAUAAAGUGUAACAACUUUAUAGUAAAACUUCGGUGGUUUGAGAUGAGCCCGCGUCCUAUCAGGUUGUUGGUGGGGUAAUGGCCUACCAAGCCUAUAACGGGUAGCUGGUUUGAGAGGAUGACCAGCCAGACUGGGACUGAGAUACGGCCCAGACUCCUACGGGAGGCAGCAACUAGGAAUUAUGCGCAAUGGACGAAAGUCUGACGCUGCGACGUCGCGUGGAGGAUGAAGGUCUUCGGAUUGUAAACUCCUUUUAUUAGGGAACAAAUUUUGAGUGUACCUAAUGAAUAAGUGCCUGCAAACCACGUGCCAGAAGCAUCGGUAAUACGUGGGGCACAAGCGUUAUCCGGAUUCACUGGGCGUAAAGAGAUGCGUAGGUGUCCUGAUAAGUUUUAUGUUAAAUCCCAAUGCUUACCAUUGGAACUGCAUAGGAAACUAUUAGGAUUGAGUCAGAUAGAGGAAAAGGGAAUUCCUGGUGGAGCGGUUAAAUGCGUUGAUAUCAGGAGGAACACCAAUGGCGAAGGCACUUUUCUGGAUCUGUACUGACACUAAGGCUCGAAAGCGUGGGGAGCAAAACGGAUUAGAUACCCGUGUAGUCCACGCUGUAAACGAUCCUCGUUAGAUUUUUGACUAAGCUCUGUGAUUUUUCUCUUCGGAGAAAGGUUUUGGGGCCUGUUGGGAGUCGCAGCUAACGCGUUAAACGAGGCGCCUGGGAAGUACGACCGCAAGGUUAAAACCCAAAGGAAUUGACGGGGACCCGCACAAGUAGUGGAGCGCCUGGUUUAAUUCGAUGACCAGCGAAGAACCUCACCUGGGCUUGAACUGUAGCUGCAUGUCCUGAGAAAUCAGGAAGGCCUUCGAGGGUGCUAUAGAGGUGGUGCAUGGCUGUCGUCAGCUCGUGUCGUGAGAUGUAGGGUUAAGUCCCGCAACGAGCGCAACCCCUAUUCCGUGUUAUAUUUACUCGGAAGACUGCCUCGCUUUAACGGGGAGGAAGGAGGGGAUGACGUCCAGUCAUCAUGUCCCUUAUGUCCAGGGCUACACAGACGCUACAAUGGUCGUUACAAUGGGUUGCCAAACCGCAAGGUGGAGCUAAUCCCAUCAAAAACGAUCUCAGUUCGGAUUGCAGGCUGCAACUCGCCUGCAUGAAGUCGGAAUUACUAGUAAUCGCGUAUCAGCAUGGCGCGGUGAAUACGUUCUCGGGUCUUGUACACACCGCCCGUCAGGGCAUGGGAGUUGCUCUUGCUCGAAGUCCCUGUUUAUCAGGGCCGACAGUGAGGGUGACGACUGGGCUU